AUUGAUGGAUGUUAAGUGAUUAGGCAUCUACUAAUGGAUGCCAGUGAAGAUGAGAAAGAUUGGAGUCUACUGAGGGAUACCAAUGAAGAUAAGAAAUAUUAGCAUCUACUGAUGGAUGUUAUGUGAUUAGACAUCUACUAAUGGAUGUUACUAACAACAUAUACUGAUGGAUGCUAUGAUGAUGAAGACUGGAUCAAGCUAGUGACGUUAAAGAAGCGCUUG
rnacentral:lncRNA from 1 species